UAAGGAAUAUUGGUCAAUGGACGCAAGUCUGAACCAGCCAUGCCGCGUGGAGGAUGAAGGUCCUCUGGAUUGUAAACUUCUUUUAUCUGGGACGAAACACUUCUUUUCUAAGAGGCCUGACGGUACCAGAUGAAUAAGCACCGGCUAACUCCGUGCCAGCAGCCGCGGUAAUACGGAGGGUGCAAGCGUUAUCCGGAUUCACUGGGUUUAAAGGGUGCGUAGGUGGGUAUGUAAGUCAGUGGUGAAAUCCCCGAGCUUAACUUGGGAACUGCCAUUGAUACUAUAUAUCUUGAAUACCGUAGAGGUAAGCGGAAUAUGUCAUGUACCGGUGAAAUGCUUAGAUAUGACAUGGAACACCAAUUGCGAAGGCAGCUUACUAUGCGGUGAUUGACACUGAGGCACGAAAGCGUGGGUAGCAAACA
rnacentral:rRNA from 1 species